UACGUAGGGGGCGAGCGUUGUCCGGAAUCAUUGGGCGUAAAGCGCGUGUAGGCGGCCCGGUAAGUCCGCUGUGAAAGUCCAGGGCUCAACCCUGGGAUGCCGGUGGAUACUGUCGGGCUCGAGUCCGGAAGAGGCGAGUGGAAUUCCCGGUGUAGUGGUGAAAUGCGUAGAUAUCGGGAGGAACACCAGUGGCGAAGGCGACUUCCUGGCCUGUUCUUGACGCUGAGGCGCGAAAGCUAGGGGAGCAAACGGG
rnacentral:rRNA from 1 species